UGUGAACUUUCGUCAGUGCCGAUGACGUCACGUUUUCGUGACGUCAGGUCUGGCCUUCACAUCUGGUCUAGACAGGUUUUGGGCCUGAGUGUGCUGGCCAGAAGACGAGAAUGAUGCCUGGGAUUGUGCUCACCUGCUCUCACAGGAGCCCCAGGCAGUGUGUAUUGCCUUUAAACCAACUCAAGGAGUCAGGAAUUCAGGAGUGAUUCAGGAAGUUCUGUCUCAGUCUCUUAAAAGCUUGGAGUCAGAUGUUGGCAAGGACUGCAUUCAUCUGAAGACUUGACUGGAUACAGAGAAUCCACUUUCAAGAUGAUUCUCUGACAUGUUUGGUGAGUUGCAAAGACUGUUGGCCACAUGGACUUCUCCACGGGGCUGCUUGAAUGUCCUCACAGCACACAACUGACUUAUCCUGGAGCAAGUGAUUAACCUAGGAGACCAAAGCAGGAGUUGCAAUGCCUUUUAUGACUAAGCCUUGAAAUUCACACAUCAUCUCUGCCGUAUUCAGUACCAGCCUUAAUUGAAUUUGAGCAGAUUACUGAAGGGCAUAAAUGCUAUGGAAGCAAGGAUCAUUGUAGACUAUCCUAGAGACUGGCUACCACAAAUUAUGGAAUUUCCACCACAGAGAAUGACAUGUUAUCUUAAAAAUAUUUAAGGAUAGAAACUCUCAACUAUUUCUUCAGUAAUAUUUUGUUGCUCAUAAUGUUGUUUCUUAAUUUCAGCCCAAAUGUCUACUGUUAAGUCUAGAAAAAACAAUUCUGCUCAAUACAAUUGAUUGGAUGUUCUUCGCAGGUCUGAAAAUAUACAUAGUUGCAAUACCUAUGACAAAAUUAUUUUAGUUACAACAGCCCAUUUUGCGGGCAAAAGGACACAAAGAAUAGGGCAAAGCAUAUAUCCUUUCAUGUAUUGAAUAGACAGUAGACCAAGUUUUAUUUAUGGUUAGUAUACACAAAAAUGAUUUUACAGUUUAAUAAUUAUGCUAGUUAAUUACCAUUAAAAUUUUAUAUUAUUUGGACUUACUUCCCUUUGCAUGACCUAUUUUCUGAACAUAAUAUUAUAGGCAGCUGUAUUACAUAAAAAUUAAUAUACAGUCAGAGAGGGACUGUGCUCUCAAAGAAGUCAGCAAAAAAAUAAAGAUACAAGAAUUGAGGCUGCAGGUACAUAUGAAGUAGGCCAAGAUAAAGAUGGAAUGGCCAGGCCUAUAUGCCUCCCCAAGGGAUAAACAGUAACUUGGAAUUAUACUGUAAUUAGUACCAUCUGUUCCAGUAAAGUCCAGAUAGACAUCAGUCACCAGGUGGGUGACUGGAGCAUUGGACCCAUCCCUUCCCAAAAAUGCCUUUGUUCUUUCCAUGUACCCUUGCUAUGUGAUCCACUUCCCUAUCAGACCAAUAUUAGCUAAGCAGCUAUACUUGUAAUCCUAUAGGUUGAUGGCAGUUUAACCCACAUUGUACCCAUGUUGUGACUUUGCUGUAUAAAUUACCCUUGACAAAGGGCCUCAGUGGCCACCCACUUCUGGAACCCCUCCUGUCUCUCAGGAGUUAUUUCUGUUCCCAGUAAACCUUUCCUACACUUAAUCUCCAUUCUCCUUUAGAAUUCAUUCUUCAAUUUCAGGAGACACAAACUCAGCAUAUUUGACGUCUAGCAGAUUGGGAGUUAUAUUUUCCCCUAUAUCAGUAAAACUAACAAUAAUAAUACUGUCACUCACUUAGCACUUACUAUGUGCUAGGUGCUUUCCAUGUUACUAAUCUUACUAUAAAGCAAAGUAGAUGUAGCUGUCACCAUUUGAUUAUAGAAAAGUAAAGAUCCUAUAAAUUUUAGUAACUUUUCUAAAAUGGAAAGAGCCAGUGACUGGUGAGGCUGUGAUGCAUGGACUUCUGGGAAGAUGGCAGAGUGGUGAGCAGUAAAGAAAGAGCCUCUCCAAGAUUUGGUGUCCUAACACUGGAAUAUAGCGGUAUGAGGAGAAGGAGGGAAGUGGGUCCCUGGGACCCAGGAAGUAUCUGAAGUGAGAAUUGAAGUCUAUGGGGAGAGUGAAGAGAGAGACUUCAAUGAAGAGAAGGGAGGUAGCAAGCAGUAGUUUCUCCCACAGCCCAGACUCACGAUGUGGGAGUGGUGGACUGAACCUGCAGAGGCAUGGUGACUACUGGUGACUCCAGAGGCGUCCAUGGAGAAACGCACCUGUGGAACAGAACAGUGGACACCAUAGACUACAGUGGUUGGAAACCGCUGUCCUGGAGAUAAGAAGAGCUAACAGGUGAUAUCAAGGGAUGGACAAUAUUGAAGAUCACCCAGAAGUAAGUGCAUAAUCUCAAGUCAUUCCAUUAUCUGGGAAAAGGGGGCUGCUAUAAUUCUUGCCUUUCCAAAGUAAUUUGGCUUUUAUAAGGAAUACACUGAGAUAAUGGAUAGGAAAGCUCUUAUUUAAAAAUAUGUGCUAACACAAAAACAAAUGGACAACAAUAGUAAAGUGUAUUACAAAUGUUGAAAAAACAAUAUUAAUACCACUGGCAAUGCAGUGGAAAUACAGAUUGCCGUUUGCUAACUGAACACUGACUCAGAGUUGAGGACUAAUAUUUUUGUGUUCUUACCCAGUCUCAUGAGCUCAAUGAAGUAUGAAAAUAAGCACUGGCCCAUAAAAUCAGGCAAGCUGGUACUAAUAAGAAAGAUAAUGCAAUUGCUUCUCUUUUCUGUUCCUCUGUUGUUCAUUUUUCCCCCUUUGACUUUUGAUUACUAGGACAACUUACACUCUGCUUUUUUUUGGUACCAGGGAUCUAACUCAGGACCUUGCGCUUGCUUGCGAGGCAGGUGGCAAAACCACUGAGCUAAAUCCCCACCCCUUACACUUUGUUUUGACAAGUAUAUGUGUGCCCUUAUUUAGGUGAUAUGGUGUGAAAAAGGGCUGAGAAUGGCUGUGGAGGAAGGGAUGGAGGAAGAGGAACAGCAUGAACAUCGGGCCUCUCCAAGUACUUGGACUUAUCUAUGCCUGAUAAACUCAUUGAGAAGCAGCUUAACACACUGACUCUGGGGCCUGGCUCUCUGAAUUCAAAUCCCCCAGCCUUGCCUCUUGUUUGCUGUAUGAUCUCUGGCAAUUUAUUUAUGUUCCCCACGACUCAUUUUCCUCAUCUCUAAAAUGGGGUUAAUAAUAUUACCUCAUGGAGUUGAUAUUAGGACUAAAAAUAAUGUUAUUAUAUAGAGCUUGAAUAGUGCUUAGCACAUCAUAAACGCUUAAUCAGUCUCAGUUAUUAUGAUCUCCCAUCUGCCUACUGAUUGAGGAAUUUUAUUCUUAAAAUAUCAUCCUUCUACCUCCAACAACAUGAAGGAAUCUCAAAAGUAUUACGCCAAAAGUAGCCAGGCUCAGAGGAGUACACAGGGCAGAAUUCCAUGGUGGUAGAAUUCUAUGACGAGCAACACUGAUUUCUAACAGUGAAAGGAAG